AUGGUGGCGCGAUGUAUCCUGGGAGCUGUAGUCCACGGCACGCUCACCGCUAGUCGGAAGUUUGAGGGGAGCGGAUGGGGAAGCCACAGUGCCCGGCGUGCACCGCGGUGGCCGCUCACCCGGCGAGGUCUCUGCAGCGCCCAGCGCGUUGCUAGGAGCUGCCUCAAAGUCGCUCUGGGUUACACAGGUUGCACACAGCAGGGUGGGAGCGUAGAGUUCCUUCUGCGCCCUUCUGAGGCAAUUCGUGGCGGGAUCGGGGAGCUGAGAAAUGUGUUAAUAUUGGAAGCUUGGCGCUUUCCAGACUGCUUGGAUUACAAGUGUGCACCAUCAUUGCUGGCAGAAUGAACAACCAGCCUCCAGGGAAGAGGACCCAGGGACAUCUCACAAGUCUGGAGCUUCCCUGACCUUCAUUGAGUUUUUCCCUGAGAGCCUCCACCCCACUUGGAACAGGAUAGGUAAAAGCAAAUGGUCAGUAGUAUCGGGUUAAUAAUAUCCCUUAGUUAUUUCAGGCUGAUCAGGUCCGCAGUCUCCCGAAUGAGUGUAGGCGAAGGCUAAAUAAGAGACAAAUGCAAUGAUCUCAGAGCUCCAGGAGGAUCAAAGCCCUCUCACAGAAUUCCAGAUUCUUACAGGGCUAAAACCACAACCUUCUCUGGAUGGUCAUAUUUAUUUAGUUAAAAGAAGGGAGGGGAGUCCUCAAGAAGGGCAGAACCACUUAAGGACUUCUCUAAGUAAGGUAUUAAGUUAAUCCACCCAGCAGUGAGAUGCCUGAGGCUAUAGUCUUUAUCUAGUUCAGAUCGAACCCAGGUGUCUGUGGCUGUGAUCUUGUCUUAUCCCUUGAGGCUUUCAGGCUUCAUCUGCCAUUACAGACCUUAGUAGGGAUUAGUGACUCAUAGAGGUUCACUUACCAUAGUCCACCGCCCAUCUCCAGACAAGGAGCCUAGGCCUUGGACAGACUCACAAGUAAACAUGGAAAGUCAAUUGGUUAAUUUAAGUCCUUCUCAGGGCGGCUUCAUACUGGUCUCCAUCACAGCGGCCUACCAACAAGGAUACCAGGGUACCUACCCCUGGCAGGAGUUUUCUCUCAUGGCAGUUGAAGGACUUAGUUGGUCAUUUUUUGAGCCCAGAUCUUCAGGGCCCAGCUACUUCCUCUACAUUGGGAGGUUUCCUGUGGGUGCCACCCCAAGGCCUUGGCCUUUCUUCUAGGAGAGGACGGAGGCCAGGAGAAGGCGCUGGCUGGAUCCUGCUGAUGGAGGGUGGCAGAGAGGGUGAUGAAAGAGCCCUUUGGAGAGUGUGACAGUUUCUGGGGUAAGAGCAUAAACUGGACCUUGUUCUAGCCCUGCCUUUCCUGGGGAGGGGACUUGGAUCUGGGGGAGAACUCCUUUCCCCAGCCAGCGGAAGAGCAGGGUGUGUUGGAGAGGAGGAAGGGAGCUGCUUGAAUCUUAGUCAUGGCUGUUGUCCCACAUUCAGACGAGGUCUGGUUUCCAACACAACCAUGAAAACACAAAUGGGAUUUUAUUAUUAAAAAGGAAGAAGGAGCCAGGUGUGGUGGUGCACGCCUGUAAUACCAGCACUUGGGAGGCUAAGGCAGGAGGAUCGUUGUGAGUUCGAGACCAGCCUGGGCUACAAAGUGAGCUCAAGGCCGGCCUGAACUGCAUAGGGAGACCCUGUCUCAAAAAGACAAAAAAUAAAUAAAUAAAUAAAUAAAUAAAUAAAA
rnacentral:lncRNA from 1 species